CCAUUAGAAGAUACAGGGCAGAACGGAUUCAUCUGUGAAAUUCUUCUAAGGGGAAAAAAGAGAGGGUGAGGGAGAUCAAUAAUGCCAUGUUGUAUUUUUAGCGAUGGGCAGCCAGAAUAGCACACAACCCUUCACCGAAAAGGAAAGGUAUGUGUAUUCCCUGGGGCUGGAAAGUUGUUAGACAUUAAUAGAAAGAAAAUUGUUAGGAAGCUGACAAGAGGUAAAGGAAAUGUCCUUGCUUUCUCCCCUGCAAAAACCUUGUAGGAGGAAAUAUGGGUGAGAACACAGGCUUGAAAAUUGAAGGAGAUUUGGGAUGGGAGGGGGACUACAGUGGGGAGGAGAAUGAGAAUGUUAAAAUAAAAAAGCAAUAGGAAAUGGAAGAAUUUCAGGGUAAACAGGCAAAUAAGCUUAGUUAUGGCAAGAAAAACAGGGUGGUUAAUUAACAAGGGGGAUAAAAAUGGCCUGCAGAUAAUAUUUAUCAUCCCUCCCAGUUUUCCUGUGGCUUUAUUUGUGCCCAUCUGUCAGCUCAAUCUUUUCCAAGUGUCUGCUGCCUCAUAUACAGGCCAUUAAUUUAUUGAAAUAUUACUGGAAUUAGAUUGCUUCUGACUUUCCUGUUGUAUUGUUUUUAACUUUUUUUAAAAAUUCGUAUUUAUUUGUUUGCCUCUUGGUGUUUAAAUUUGGCAAGUGAUGUCUGAGCUGGAAACAGUCUUCCCAGUCUGUGGCAGAAAGAAAAUAGAGGACUCUUUUCCAUGGAGAAGCACAGCCAUCUACACUUGCAAACCACUUUUGCCAAAUGUCUUUGUACAUGUAUCCCUCUUCCCCUGAAGUGAGAAAUCUAAACCUGAAACAUUCUGACCAGAACAAAGAAAGCCAUUGCAAUGCUGUAUUUAUGUGCCAUAGCAAAGAACAGGGCUAAAUGGAUCAUCCUUAUUAUGAACACAUCCAGGUUAGAUUUAAAAAACAACUCAAGAGAAUCCACUAAGAAAUAAGAAGGUAAUGAAUUCAAAUUAUACUGAUCUUAAUUUUGAAAACAGGGACAAAGAGCCUUCCUGUCAAGUCAGUCACUGGCUGGUAGGAGUCUGAUUUUAGCCAGUGACCACCAAAGAAGAUAAUUCUGACAUUUUUGAUACCGCUGUUGACCGGUGACGAGUCCUUGCUUCCCCAAUGUUGAAGAAUAACACCAAAGAAGCACGCCGAGGCAAGGUCAGAGUGGAAAUUAGAAGUUUAUUAAAGGACAGCAGAAAAGACUUCUCCCGGAGGAAGAAGGGGACCCAAGAGGUGGAAUCCCUGGAAGGGAUGUUGUCUCCCCUUUUUAUAGUUCUUUCAGUGAUGGAAUGUAGGUGGGAAGGACCGAGGGGUGGGACACAGGUGGGCCAAAGAAGUAAUCUGGUCAGGAAGGACUUCUGAGUCAGCACCUUUUUGCUGGGGGCUGUUCAUUAACAUUUCUUUGAGGUGGACUUUGGCCUAGGGCCUUUUCGGGACUUCCAUGAGUUGUCCUGUGUUUUCCAGGAGUCAUUCUCCGCAUGGUCUCCAUUUUAGAUUUCACUCAAUAUUAGACCCGAUUUAUCUAACUACACUGACUACCUAACUUUAAAUCUGGCUUCAUUUUUAAUGUCACAUAAUGUUUUUAAUCAGCAAUUGCAUGCAGAAACAAUUCAGCAAAGGCCUGAAGCCUGAUUUGAUGGCUUCAGCUUCCCAAGACCCCCCCCCCCAAAGAGCAGACAGGCCACCCAAAUCCUCCACUUGUCAAACCAGCUCCUGCCUCAGGAGGGAUUUGUGAGGCUUCACUUCAAGGACUACCACCCAGGCUGGUUGGCUGAAAACGUGAGCUGCCUAUUAUUUCUCCUUCAUUUCCCAGGAUGUCUGGGUGAGAGAGUUCCGCACCUCCUGAUGGGCACAAGUCCCAGCCUUCUGACAUUUCCUUCUCACACUGAGCAACUUUUUAACCAGAGACUCCCAGCUGCUCCUCGCCCCCCCCCACCCCCAGCUCACUGGUUGGCAGUCUCGUGUGCAAGACAGAUGGGGAGAGCGGGAAGGAGGGGGGGGAGAACCAAGCCGCUUUGGGAGGCUUGGUUUGCCUAUAAACAAAAACUGGAGGGGGAGGAGUUUUAAAAGUUAAAUGAUAGAAGACAAAACAAUUAGUUUCCACAAAAUAAAUUAGAAUACAAGGGAUGGAUUACCUGCAUCUCAGAGAGAGCAAAAUCUCCAGGAUAUAGAAAGAACUCAAAAAACUUAACACCAAAACAAACAACAACAACAAAAAAACAAAUAACCCAAUCAGUAAAUGGGCAAAGGAACUGAAGAGACACUUCACAGAAGAUGAUAUACAACUGGUCAACAAAUAGAUUAAAAAAAAAAUGUUCAACAUGUCUUGCAAUUAGAGAAAUGCAAAUUAAAACUAUACUGAGACUCCAACUCACUCCAAACAGAAUGGCAAUUAUCUUUUGUGUGUACAUGGUGCUGGGGAUUGAACCCAGGGCUUUGUGCAUAUGAGGCAAGGACUCUACCAACUGAGCUAUAUCCCUAGCCCCAGAAUGGCAAUUAUCAAGAAUAAAGUAACAAUAAAUGUUGGUGAGGAUGUGGGGGUGUUAUG
rnacentral:lncRNA from 1 species